UACAGAGGUCUCGAGCGUUAGGCGGAAUCACUGGGCUUAAAGCGUGUGUAGGCGGAUUGGUAAGUACUUUGUGAAAUCCCACGGCUUAACCGUGGAACUGCUUGGUAUACUGCCAGUCUUGAGCCAGCUAAGGGCUACCGGAACAAAUGGUGGAGCGGUGAAAUGCGUAGAUAUCAUUUGGAACGCCAAUGGUGAAAACAGGUAGCUGGGGCUGUGCUGACGCUGAGACACGAAAGCCAGGGGAGCAAACGGG
rnacentral:rRNA from 1 species